rnacentral:rRNA from 1 species
GAACCGUACGAACGUUAUUCGGGAAUCACUGGGGCUUAAAGAGUGCGUAGGCGGCUUGGCAAGUUGGGUGUGAAAUCCCUCGGGCUUAACCGAGGGAACUGCGCUCAAAACUAGCCUGGCUUGAGGGAGAUAGAGGUGAGCGGAACUAAUGGUGGAGCGGUGAAAUGCGUUGAUAUCAUUAGGAACACCAGAAGCGAAAGCGGCUCACUGGAUCUCUUCUGACGCUGAGGCACGAAAGCUAGGGGAGCGAACGGGAUUAGAUACCCCGGUAGUCCUAGCUGUAAACGAUGAGCACUGGGUCGGAGAUCCUUCCACAGAUUUCCGGCCGUAGCGAAAGUGUUAAGUGCUCCGCCUGGGGAGUAUGGUCGCAAGGCUG